UUUAUUUGAAUGCCAUGAGGCUGAGUUUUAACUUUAGUUUAACUUAUUAGGCUUCCUAGAUUCUAUCUCAUCAAUUUCAAAUUUUUAUUUUUGAUCCUCAUCCCUGUCUAAUGAAAUUCUUUCUUUUUCUUUUUGCAGGUACCCUACAACAGGAGAUAAUGAUUGUCUCAUGGAAGCAAUAGUUUUCAACAAUACUUCAAUUAGAGUUUGAUUGCAUUGUAGAUUUUUGAUGAAAAAUUUAACAAAGGAAUUAGAUUUUAUUAUUGACUAACAUGGAUGACGAUGAUGAUGAUUCAAAGAAUACGUGGUCGGGUUCAUAGGAUGCCAAGGUGGAAUUGUGAAGUGUAGAUAUGUCAUGCGAGUAAUACAAAAAGUCCUUAAUGAAUUGGAUGGUUUUGUUGCAGAGACAGAUAUUAUCAUGGAAAGGAAACCCCUAAACUUGGAUAGCAAUACUCAUGCUGAUUCAGCUGAAGAUACAUUAUACUAGAUACUGUCAAAGAAUAAUUGUGCUCCUGAAUGGGUCAAGCUUAACAAAGGAAUCAGACGCUUAACCUUAAAUAAAGCAGUGGGUAGCAAAAAGAAUGGUGAUAUGUCCACAUGGCACGAAUAUCUAACUUCUUUGAAAGUUCAGCUAGGUAGCAUCAAUGAUAAGGUCAGUGGUGACCCUUAAUUAUUUGAUUGUCAUUAAUAAAGGCGGCAAAGUGGGUGGAUUGGGGAAUGUCAGUAUAGAACAACAAAGAGUGGUAGACGACAAAGCCGCAAAAAGAAUGGUUAUAUGUCCACAUGGCACGAAUAUCUAACUUCUUUGAAAGUUCAGCUAUGUAGCAUCAAUGAUAAGAUGUUUGGAUUGGGAAGCCUUCGGUGGUUGUUGAUGGUGUCACCGACUCACUAAGUCCUAAAAAAAUAUCGACUAAGUGACAUGAAAUUCACUCCGGCCAGCAACCAUUCUUCCGGCGAGCAACCAUAACAAAAUUGAUGGCCGGAGUGAAUCUGCAGAUUGGCGGUGUGACUAUUCUUUGUAAUGGGCAAUCUGAUUACAUUAGUGAUGACAAAGAAGUUAAAUCAGUUAGCAUAUAUGGUUCCCUUGACGCUGCAGUGGACAAUGUGAUACACUCUUUGCAAGUGUCACAAGAGAGUAUAUCGAUUAAUACAAGAGGUUACUAAGACUGGUGCUUGAUUAAUCUGGAUGGAAGACAUAUCCAUGAGGUAUAAAGAUUCUAAACAUCGAGUCUUAUGAUUAAGAUGAAUGACUUGGUCACUUGAGAUAUUUACAGAUGGCUGCCACUACAUACGAUACAUUUCUCCUUGCUUCAGAAAGAUAUAGAAUUGGUAGAGCACAAGUUUCUUUAGUUUGAAAUUCAUUCUUGAAGGCAUAAUAGUCAAAUAAAUGUACCAAUAGGAAAACAAAUAUGUGAUCGGUAUUUACAUGCAUGGGAACAGUUUUUUGACUAUUUGGGAGAAGCAUUUGGUUGAAACAGCAGAAUACCAUUUGACGUAUGAAUGUCUUUUUUUGCUGUUUAAGUCGUGUGCACCUUUAUCUCAAAUGGUUGAAAAAGGUCAUAUAUCUUGAAAUGAGCCGAAGAGCAUACACAAUCGAGUCGGUAGAAUUGGCGUUGUAUGCAUGCUUUUUUUUCUUGUUUUCUUCUUUUAAUAUAUAUAGUUAAUCAAUGAAGACUUUUUUGAAUACAAGUUGGUUAUUUCGUAUGUAGUAUAACUCCGGUUUCUUUUUGGGCAACCUACAUUCAAAGUCA